rnacentral:misc_RNA from 1 species
AUCAAUAGUAGAAGGUUGAUAAUCUGUCAGACAUUUCAAUUCCAGGUGCUUAUCAGCACUCAGAAUUACCAAAUUCAUUCAGCAAUCCACCUAAACCCACCAGCAUGGGAUCUAUGCAGAGGUCACAAGAUAGAAGUACACAGCAGAUAUAUCCUAUGAAUUUUAACUCAUCACUGUUGCGGCUGUCCCUCACCCGAUUCACGUUUUGAUGCUUCUUU